rnacentral:lncRNA from 1 species
CUGCAACUAUAUUUAACUGAAGAGCUGGCAGCAAGGAGAGACACCAGAUGCACGGAAUCUUCCUAAUCCUUUACAAGAGAGUCCUCCUCCUUUCACAAGAGGAACAUUCUGGUUGGUGGCUAUCUGCUUACUGGACUAUACCUUCCCUGACGUAUGGAUUCAACACUGUUUUUGUUGGAGUAGUUCAUUAUUACAUCAUAAAGACAAGUCUGCGGCUUCUGGAUUGCUGCUUCAACAGAAGUGGAGUUCAGAGCACUGCAAAAGCAUGAUGCUGAAGAGGAGAUUGACAGAAUUUCCAGGCUCAGCACUGCAAUCAGUUACAGCCAUCUCUCUCUUUCCAAACAACAAUACCCCUUCUGGGCAGCAGUGAUUGAUGUUUGGCUUUCACUCAGAAGCAAAUCUUUGCAAGGAUUGGAAAGUUUGAAUGUAAUCAUUUGGCUGCCUUGCAGUUAUCUCAAGUGAGCAAAAAUGUUUUUCAUCUGUUAGGAACUUUGUUCAGCUCAAGGCAGCUGAAACAUCAUCCCAACACUUCACAAGCCUAUACGCUUCUCCCUUUAGUGUUUUUUUUUGUCAGAUUCGGGACCUAGACUCUAUAGGAACUGCUUAAAGUGAAUAAAACCCAAAUGCUUGGCACU